GCAGGUCUGCCCAUGCCCUACCAAGGUCCUGAGUCACACAGAACACGCCAAAUCAGCCCCCUGCAGACAGGCAGCCACCUGGUUCCACACUACAAAGACUCAGAGGACACCAGACCUCCAGACCAAGGAUUGUGGGUGAUCAUCUCCCAACAGCAAGAAGUUAUGGAGGAGAUCUUGUCUGAAGAGAAGGAAGAGAAAGAGGCAGAGGAAUCUACACUUCAAUUGAGAUUAGAGAAAUAUGCAAAAUGUGGGAAAUAGUGCAAAAUUUUAUAGAAAAGCACUACUGAAUAAGGCUGUAAAAGUACAAGUGAUGAAUCUGUUUAACAACAAUGCAAUGUCACAUUUCCGUGAAAUCUUCAGAAGAAGGCAAAAGCAAGCAUCAUUGGGUAGGUUCCUUCUUAAAGUUGCAUGAAAAG
rnacentral:lncRNA from 1 species